rnacentral:rRNA from 1 species
UACGUAGGGGGCAAGCGUUGUCCGGAAUUAUUGGGCGUAAAGAGCGUGUAGGCGGCUAGAUAAGUCCGCUGUGAAAUCUCGAGGCUCAACUUCGAGCUGUCGGUGGAAACUAUCUGGCUAGAGUCCGGAAGAGGAGAAUGGAAUUCCUGGUGUAGCGGUGAAAUGCGCAGAUAUCAGGAAGAACACCCGUGGCGAAGGCGGUUCUCUGGGACGGUACUGACGCUGAGACGCGAAAGCGUGGGGAGCAAACAGG